GUGGAUUUACAAAUUGAGGGCAACGCUAGUACCCGUACAGCGACCCUAUCUACAAAAGAACUAACUUCAGCAGAGCAAGCAUGGCGUAUGACUACACUCAGGAGGAGUUUGACAGAGAGGUUAAUGAGGUGCUGUCUACCUUUGGACCCAACCCCCCAGAGAGAGCUGUGCAGCUCGCCAGGAAACUAGUAGGAGAAUACCUGCAAUCUCUAGUAGAUUUGGCCAAAAAGGAGUCCCAGGGAGCCAAAGGUGUCGUCCUUCCUCCCCAGCGGCAGUGUG